rnacentral:rRNA from 1 species
UACGGGGGGGGCAAGCGUUGUUCGGAAUUACUGGGCGUAAAGGGCUCGUAGGCGGUCAACUAAGUCAGACGUGAAAUCCCUCGGCUUAACCGGGGAACUGCGUCUGAUACUGGAUGGCUUGAGUUCGGGAGAGGGAUGCGGAAUUCCAGGUGUAGCGGUGAAAUGCGUAGAUAUCUGGAGGAACACCGGUGGCGAAGGCGGCAUCCUGGGCCGACACUGACACUGAGGAGCGAAAGCCAGGGGAGCAAACGGG